GUUUUGUUUUUUUAUUUCCUUGUACAAUUGGAAUAAAGAGAAAUGUUUCAGAUUGAUUGUUACACGUGAAAUUGUUUAAAUAGAAUUUGUUGGAAAAAGGAACGUUGCAAAAAAGGUUAAGAUUCGUGUAUAUCAAUGAUUAAGGUUAUUGCAGAAUCUUUUGUUUGUUUUCAUCGUUCGAUAUUUAUGAUUAUAAUUGAUCGUUUAUAAUGAGAUGAAUGAUAUCCUCGAACUUGACACGAUUUUUCGCGAGAACGUUGUCUCGUACAGUGUACACAUACGUAGAUACAUACGUUGAUCACUAUGCAACUGACAAUACUCGUUAGUCAGACCUUCGACGAGGUGAUGCUAAUCGAAUGUUUUUCUACAUACCUUGUUACCAAUAUCAUCUUUGGCUAUGAUAUCCCAAUCGAUGGUGUCAACAUAACAAAGCGCUGGAUUCUUUUCGAAACGAACCGAACCACGUAGAAUAUCAGUCAAUGAAUGAAGACCAAUUUCUUGUAGGUGCAUCAUCUCAAAUGCAACUAGAGCAUAAUUGAUAAAUAAAGAAUGACCUCGAAUCACUGUCAGAUUUGGAAAGAGACGGCCGACGCUUCGUAGUCCAUUUACUCUGAAAAUUCAUAUAUUUUCUUUUCAUAUAUUUUUUACCAUUUAUCAGAAAAAAAAGUAUAUAUAUAUAUAUAAUUCGUUUUUUUUAUAUUCGAAUAAACACAUUAAAUAAAUAAACAAAUAUACAUAUAUAUAUAUAUAUAUAUAUAUAUAUAUAUAUAUGUAUAUUGUGUAAAGUUCAUAUACGCAGUAUACGCGUGUGAGUGUGUAUAUAUCAGAAAGAAAAAAAUAAAUAAAUAAACGAGAUAAAAGAAGUGAAAUAUUCGUAAUCGUUUGUACAAGAGUGUCAAUGAAAAACUUGUAAGUUGUAAAAGUCGUGCAACGACUCCAUCCUGCUCUCGUUCCGUGAGAUCGUAAAAAAAAAAGAAGGAUGGAGAGGAAGAAAAAAGAAAAUAAAUAAAAGAACAAAAAAGAAUGAAAGAAAGAACGAGAGAAAGAAAAGAAGGGAAAAGGGGAGGAAAAGAACAAAAAACAAAUAAAUAAAUAAUGAACGAAAGAACGAAAGAAAGAAAGAAAAAAGAGGGGAAAAAAAACUGAAAAAAAGAGGCAGAAGCCGCGAUAAUAACAAGCCGCGUGCCUGAGAACGAGUUUAGUGACCUGAGAAAGGGGUUGGAACCGAGUGAAACGUCUACUUCGUUCUACUCGACCUUUUAUAACUUCUCGAUCGUUGCAUACCACCUUCUCGUGGGAGAAGUGGGAAAAGAAAUAAGAAAACUACUGGGGGAGAAAACUACUCGUGAAAAUUUGAUAUCGGGGAGAAAAGCACUCGUUGCAUUAAAUUUUAUAUUAAAAACAAAAA